rnacentral:rRNA from 1 species
GAUGAACGCUGGCGGCGUGCCUAAUACAUGCAAGUCGAGCGAACAGAUAAGAAGCUUGCUUCUCUGAUGUUAGCGGCGGACGGGUGAGUAACACGUGGGUAACCUACCUAUAAGACUGGGAUAACUCCGGGAAACCGGGGCUAAUACCGGAUAAUAUUUUGAACCGCAUGGUUCAAUAGUGAAAGACGGUCUCGGCUGUCACUUAUAGAUGGACCCGCGCCGUAUUAGCUAGUUGGUAAGGUAACGGCUUACCAAGGCGACGAUACGUAGCCGACCUGAGAGGGUGAUCGGCCACACUGGAACUGAGACACGGUCCAGACUCCUACGGGAGGCAGCAGUAGGGAAUCUUCCGCAAUGGGCGAAAGCCUGACGGAGCAACGCCGCGUGAGUGAUGAAGGUCUUCGGAUCGUAAAACUCUGUUGUUAGGGAAGAACAAAUUUGUUAGUAACUGAACAAGUCUUGACGGUACCUAACCAGAAAGCCACGGCUAACUACGUGCCAGCAGCCGCCGUAA